AUUGGCAGCCUGACCCGGAUGACAUCUUGCCCGGAGAUCGGCUAACCAACAAGCGCCAUGCUUUCGAUGAGGCCAAGCAGGCCAUCGGCUUCUGCCUCAGGCCGGGGGCCAACAUGGCCUUGUACGACCGUGGCCACCACUAAUGUGACGGCCAUCCAGCCCCAGCAGAGAUGAACUUAUAGAUGAACUAUUAGCGAUGUAACACGUAAAGGCAAUUUACUCAAUAUUCGCAGUGCUUUGACACCUCUGUUAAAGCCAGAGUUUUGCUCUCCGAAGCUGGCCAUCAACCAGAAGACACACAACAUCUUGAAGAUUUCUCAGGACUCGGCACUGCGGGCAGCCAGAGAGAGAACAAACAAUUGACUUCAUCCAGCACAUUCAGACUUCUCAACCCUCUCUGGUUGUGGGAUUUGCAUCAAGACACUUUGCUGAAAAUCUACUGCUGCUCCAGACCAACCCAACCAAGAGACCUUCCUCGUCACAGCAGAGCUGCUUUGCUUGUGGACAACAUCAGAUUCAGCCUACACUUCAUGAAAACCAUCAACCCUGUCAUGGAUGUCCACGUGAGAGGCGCCCAAACCAAUCUCGCAAAACCCGAAACCGUCAAGAGCGUUUUGCUGAGCUCUACCUCUGGCGAGGGCUCCCUUGCGGUCACACAAUUUGAUUUUUUUUUUUUUAUUCUGACAUUUUAGAGGUCUAGCUUAAUUUUACAUUUUGCCGUUUUUUAUCUGCAUCGACUUGAAAAUUACCUGGCUUGGCUUUAAUUUUAAAUUUUUUAAUAGAAUUAUCUCCAAAUUAAUUUGGAAUGUUUUUGCCCAUAGUAAAUACUUACCUCCGAAGUGACUUGCGAUGAAAUUUUGGGAAAUUUUAAUCAAAAUGAAUUUUUAGUUGCGUCUUAUAAUUUGAAGCAAAGCAACUGAACAACGAGAAGGUUCUUGGAAUCAAGUUAAGAAUUUCUUAAAAACUAUAAUUAUUUGUUAACGAAAUUUAGCACACGUAAUACUCGACAGUACAAGUGGUCUUUGAAAAAAUUUGCCUUCAUUCAAACCAAAGUUUUUUUUUUUUAAUUCUUUUUAUUUAAUGAUGGAUCAAAAAAUUGAGAGAUUUAGAGAAAUGAAAUAGGCAAUUGAAGGUAGAAUAGGCUUUCAAAUUAUGCUAAUGCCAAUAAAUUUACUGAAAAUUAUAUAAUAUAAUGCAUUGACACUGCUUUCGAUGUGUCUGGGAAAUCAAAGAACUGUUCAAAAUCAUUGCGAACAUUCAAUUUUUUUUUACAUUUUUAACCAAGACAAAGAAAAAGUUAAAACAUUCGAUUUGUAUAUUUCAUGUUCUUCUCUGCGUUAGUUUUAAAGGAUUCCAAAGAUCUUUGAUGGAUCUAGUCGGUAAUUGAAAAAAAUCUUUGCCACUUAUUAAUUGUUUAUGAAAAUUUACAUUCUAACUCAAGGAGUGGCUUUGCUGAUAAUUUUUUUUUUUUCAUGUUUUACUUUAUUUGCAUUGAGUUAAGAGCUUGAAGCUCAUUAAAUCCUGGAAAUACAAAUAUUUUUACAGAAAAAAUAGCAGAAAAUUAACUUUUUGAAGUGGAAUUGCCAUUGAAAUUUUUAUUUCUCAAAACGUCCACUAUUGAUAGUUUGUGUUUAAAAACAGUUUUUAGGAUUUAGAUUCAUUUGCAAAAAUUAAUUUGAUGCUACUUAAAAAUUGCGUCCCAAAAAAUUAGUUUAGGCCAAAACUGGGAAUUGCUUCGUGAGUUGAAGAGAAAAAAAAUUUGAACAACAGAACAGAGAUUUAAAAAAUUUAAUUUAAGAUGGUCAAAAUGGAAACGUUUAUCAGAGUCUAUUUUUUAUUUUUGCGUAUUAUGUUUGCUUGCGCAGUUUUGCAGAGGUCAAUCCUGAUUCAGUGGAGUUUGAUUUCGACGAAGGGACUAACAACUCUGUCAUGUGAGGCAAAAAAUUGCUUUUCCCUCAGGCUGGAAAUUUGUCGGAUUGCCUUGAACGUAGGCGCCACGUUUGAGAUCAAUACGGCCAAUGGAAAACUGAGAAGUUUGGCAAUUUUUUGGUAUUCAACUCUUUUUUUUUGAAUUGCAAAAAUUAGUAUUUCCCAACGUUAUUAAAAUUUGAUGCAAUUCGAUCAAAAUUAAUUGUCUCUUGAGAGUUGAAUUAAGAGUGAAAAAGGAUUUUUUCCUAAAUUGCAUUCCAGUUAAUUAGCAAUUAAAUUAUGCGCCUAUAAUUUGAAAAAGAAGGUGCUUCAUUUAUUUAUUCUCCAUUCGAUACAGUCAUGAAUACAGAGCAAAAAAACUGUACACAAAAAGAACAGAAAAAGCUGAAAAUACAUUUUAACAGAGACAUAAUUAGGGGUUGAAUGGAGAAAAAAUGGCUUAUUAUUGCUAGCAAACAACUUGAAAUUAUUCAAAAGAGGAACUUAUAGUGAGAUUGGUGCAUUUGAAAAUGUCACCUUUUAAUUAUCCAGGUUAAUGCUGGAAAUAAUAAAUAAUUAUUCACCUGCGAUUGAAACUCAACUUCCGAUUGAAAACCUCAGCAGUUUCGUAAAAUAAAUGGUUUGCUGAGAAUCUACGUAUAAAUCAAAUCUGCGCUCUUUGCUUGAGUGCUGGAGCAGAAACAAAAUGAGAAAAUAAUUCGAUAAGAACGAAAUCAGAGUUGUUAAGUCAUCAAAAAUUCUGCAAAUUGGGUCAAAAAUUGAAAAUAAUAUGGAAUUGUCUCAUCGAUUCAUCAGGCAAAUGCUGCCCUAAUACAUCAUUUAGAUGGGAAAAAGUUUUGAAAACUCGACAGGAAAAUCAAAAUAGAAGUCACAAUGAUUAUUAUUUUUAAUGUUGUUUAUCUGUCCACGUCUUUAACAAGCAAUUGUUAAAAAAAUUGUAGGACAAAAUAGCAAGAGAUGAAAAAACCAAAUACCAAAUAAUUAAACAAAUCAAACUCCAAACUGAAAAUAUUCAUGCAAUCGAAAACUAAAAAAAAAAGUCUGAGCGUUGUUAUGUUCUGAUGAAAUGUUGAUUUACAACCGUUUAUAAUUUUGAGCUCAAUGUUCUUGAUGCUCCAAAGGCUAUGUUUAAAAAUCUAUUCUCCGCUCAUUACAACCAUUCAAUUAGAAAACUUUCAGGAAAAUUAGUACAUCGAAUUCAGGAGAAGUAUUUGAAAAAAAGUCUAAACGCCGAGUAAAUAAAAUUCUAGACACAUUUAUGAAACAAAAAACGUUUGAACAAGACUGAAGCCAUGAACAUCAUCGUUAAUUACGAAAAGCGUGAAAAUGAAAUAAAAAAGUACCGACCUCUGCAAACUCUGCGACUGAACCACUCCAAUUGCGAAAAUCUGAACGAUCGAGACCUGCGAGAAAUAUUUAUUUUACUUUUAGCUUCAUGCAGUGAGCCUCUGCCCUCCGACAACACCUCGAGCUGGACUUGAAUGUCUGCAUAUUUUAUUUAUAGACAUGCAAUGGCUUGUCUGACAUCGAACUUUGGAUUAUUCAGGAUUUUUAGCUUCCAAAACGUGUGGAAUUGUUACCAACAUUUCUAUUAUUAUUUAUUCUUUUCGGUCAAAACAAAAAUUUUAAAUUGGAAAAGAGAGAAGAAAGGGUUUUGAAGGAAGAAAAAGAAAUUAUCAAAAUAAUAUUUACAGCGUCUGUAAAUCCCACAUUUUGAAAUGAAGUCUGAAUUAAAAUAUCGGCGAAGAUACUGAAAAAAAGUGAUUUUCAUCUGCGAGAAACGUUAUCGUUCGAAUGAGAUUUUCAUGGAAAUGAAAAGAUCGGGGUUUUUCUAGUUGCGAAAAUUGUUUUUAUUUGAAAAAAAAAUUGCCCCACCAGUUUCGGUCAAGGCCUGCGACCCUAUUUCAUGAGCAAAAAAUACAAAAAAAAAUCAGCAAAAUUGGAAAAACACCAAAUUAUUUUGAUAUAAAAAUUAAAAUCUUUAUACCAACAAAUUCAUUGUUGUUUGAUGAGCAAACGUGCUGCUCGCUGAUUUAUGCAAGAAUGAGCUUGACUGACUGAUCUUGAUUGGGUGAUUAGCGCGGCCGAACGAACACACGGGCGCUGAAUUAUGCGUUUUAAACGUUUCAUCUGAAAUUGUUUGGAAGGAGGCAGAGGUGUCGCUCGAUUUGGAAAUCCCAGUGCGAAUAAAUUGCUCAGAGGAAAAAUAAUAAUUAGUGCCUUUUGUAAAGAGUCUUAUCGGUCUGUGUCCCUUUUUUGGUUUAUCCCCCAAUUUUACCUUUUAUUCGUGUUUUCGGGUUAAUCUUUUAUUAAAAAUCAAGCAUCAAUUUAUCACAAAGUUGUUUUGGUUCCGCCGGGCGUUGUUGAGUGGCUGGUCCGGCCUCAAAUUUCGGACGGUUCUCCUGGUCACUUUGAAAGAAUUAUUCUUGGCUGAAAAGCGAAAACGACGCGGCAGGACAGGCGCCGCAAAUUCGAACCCAUCGAUCUGCUGUGAUAUUUUCUCUCGGGAUUAAACCGAGCAUUUUAUGUCUAUUGAAAUUUGGUUUUCAUUUUGUUAAUUAAUAUUUAUUCGCAUCGACUGUGAUACGUUUUUAUUUAUUGAGAACCUGACAUUUGACGUGCCGGUUGCCAAACUCGGCCAUCCGCAGGCGCCUGCCUCCGUUAAAUGCGAUUUUUUUAUUGAUUUUGAAAUUGGUUCGUACAAAUUAUCAGAGCUCGCGAAAUAGUGAACCUGGGAGAUCAGCCAACUCGACGUCAGGAAAUCUGCGAGACUCUCCGAUGUAAUCAAAACUGCCGUGAAAAAUCAAUUAUUUAUUUGUGAAUCGUUCUAUUGAGCGACACAAAUGAGAAUCGCUUGUGCAGUUUCUUAAAAUUGUAGGAAAAUUAAAUUAUAUUUCGUGAUUACAUUUUAUUUAUACAUUUAGUAAUUUGGACUUCGAUCUAUCUACUUAUGUGAUCUUGGUGAAGUUUUCUUUACCAAAUUUCAAUAAAAGCAAAAUUGCUGCUGCGUCCCGAAAAGAAAUUAUUCAUCAAAGCGUAUUCAAGUGACGUUCAUUUGCAAAAGUUGGACAUUCUAGACGAACAAAUAACCCGCUCGAGCUAAAUGUUAAAAUGUGAAAAAAUUCGCAGAAAUUUGCCAAAUUAUGAAAGGAACAAAAAUAAAUGUGUCGAGCGGGUUGCGUCGCAAAGU